rnacentral:rRNA from 1 species
UACGGAGGGUGCAAGCGUUAUCCGGAUUCACUGGGUUUAAAGGGUGCGUAGGCGGGUAGAUAAGUCAGUGGUGAAAUCUCCGAGCUUAGCUCGGAAACUGCCAUUGAUACUAUUUAUCUUGAAUAUUGUGGAGGUAAGCGGAAUAUGUCAUGUAGCGGUGAAAUGCUUAGAUAUGACAUAGAACACCAAUUGCGAAGGCAGCUUACUACACAAUGAUUGACGCUGAGGCACGAAAGCGUGGGGAUCAAACAGG